UUCUUCCGUUUGUUUUCUCAGUUUGAAAUUAGGGAAGGGAUUCAUGCAUCUAGUGCAUUGUCAGCUGUCUGAAUCAGAUAACCUUAGGGGAUGAAUUCAAAGGUCAAAGUAAAUGUUGGUCAUCCCCGCGUAAAAAUCCCUUGUGAAUAAGAGGUCUCCUGAAUGUUCUCUCUCUGGAAUGACGAGCUCCUCUCUACCAUCUGGGUAGGUCUUCCAUCUUCAAGGUAAGAUUUGCUUCCUCCCAUUGUCGAAUGAUGAUUACCCCUCUACCGACUGAGUAGCUUUCCCCCAUUUACACGACUGAGAAAUGAAAAACCUAAAAAACCCAAUCGAAACCCAGAUGGCUCAUUCCAAAAAACCCCGUUAAUCCCACCCACGACAAAACCCUAAUGCCCAUCCAUUUCUGAUCGGUUGUGCUUGUUCAUCGCAAUCCACCAGAUUAAUGUUCCAUUUCACCUGACAUACACGAAACCCUUAGUGAGCUCCCUUCAAUCGGUCUAUUCUAAUGAUGACCCUCCUGCUGGUUCCAAAGUGUAAACGCCAGCUAUUGCGACAAACCUGAGAUUCUCAUUCUGGUAAAAAAGAAAUGGCAAGUCAGCUUGAG
rnacentral:lncRNA from 1 species